GGCGAUUUAGCUCAGUUGGUUAGAGCGUGUGCUUAACACUUGGAUCCUCUGGAUCGAGCGUUGCGCACAAGGUCGGCGGUUCGACCCCGUCAAACGUCA
rnacentral:tRNA from 1 species